GGGUGCAAGCGUUGUCCGGAAUUAUUGGGCGUAAAGAGCUCGUAGGCGGUCAGUCGCGUCUGCUGUGAAAACUCGGGGCUGAACUCCGGGCCUGCAGUGGGUACUGGCUGACUAGAGUGCGGUAGGGGAGACUGGAAUUCCUGGUGUAGCGGUGAAAUGCGCAGAUAUCAGGAGGAACACCGGUGGCGAAGGCGGGUCUCUGGGCCGUAACUGACGCUGAGGAGCGAAAGCGUGGGGAGCGAACAGG
rnacentral:rRNA from 1 species